UGCGUAGGUGGUCCGUUAAGUCAGUUGUGAAAUCCCCGGGCUCAACCCGGGAACUGCUUCUGAUACUGGCGGACCUGAGGCCGGUAGGGGUCACUGGAACAGACGGUGGAGCGGUGAAAUGCGUAGAUAUCGCCUGGAACGCCGGUGGUGAAGACGGGUGACUUGGCCGGUUCUGACACUGAGGCACGAAAGCGUGGGGAGCGAACG
rnacentral:rRNA from 1 species